rnacentral:rRNA from 1 species
CACGUAGUUAGCCGGUCCUUAUUCCCCACCUACCGUCAACCCCACGAGAACGUGGAGCCUGCGUUGGUGGUAAAAGAGGUUUACAACCCGAAGGCCGUCAUCCCCACGCGGCGUCGCUGCAUCAGGCUUUCGCCCAUUGUGCAAUAUUCCCCACUGCUGCCUCCCGCAGGAGUCUGGGCCGUGUCUCAGUCCCAGUGUGGCCGGUCGCCCUCUCAGGCCGGCUACCCGUAAUCGCCUUGGUAGGCCGUUACCCCACCAACAAGCUGAUAGGCCGCGAGCCCAUCCCUGACCGAUAAAACCUUUCCACCCUCCACCAUGAGGUGGCGGGUCGUAUCCGGUAUUAGACGGCGUUUCCACCGCUUAUCCCGGAGUCAGGGGCAGGUUGCUCACGUGUUACUCACCCGUUCGCCGCUCGUGUACCCCCGAAGGGCCUUACCGCUCGACUUGCAUGUGUUAAGCACGCCGCCAGCGUGUCCUGAGCCACGGAUCAACUAC